AAUGAACGCUGGCGGCGCGCCUAAUACAUGCAAGUCGAGCGAGAAGACGUAGCAAUACGUUUGUAAAGCGGCGAACGGGUGAGGAAUACAUGGGUAACCUACCCUAGAGUGGGGAAUAACUAGCCGAAAGGUUAGCUAAUACCGCGUACGCUCCUUGGACUUCGGUUCAGGGAGGAAAGCGAUACCGAGGGUAUCGCGCUCUUGGAUGGGCUCAUGUCCUAUCAGCUUGUUGGUGAGGUAACGGCUCACCAAGGCUUCGACGGGUAGCUGGUCUGAGAGGACGAUCAGCCACACUGGCACUGCGACACGGGCCAGACUCCUACGGGAGGCAGCAGUAAGGAAUAUUGCGCAAUGGGCGAAAGCCUGACGCAGCGACGCCGCGUGAGUGAAGAAGGCCUGGUGUAA
rnacentral:rRNA from 1 species